GAUGAACGCUGGCGGCGUGCCUAACACAUGCAAGUCGAACGGAGUCCCGCCUUUAAGACCUUCGGGUCAAAGAGGGGAAGCCUGAGUGGCGGACGGGUGAGUAACACGUGGGCAACCUGGCUCAUAGGGGGGGAUAACAGAGAGAAAUUUCUGCUAAUACCGCAUAAGCACACCCUGCCGCAUGGCCGAGGGUGCAAAGAGAAUCGCUAUGAGAGGGACCCGCGUCUGAUUAGCCAGUUGGCAGGGUAAGAGCCUACCACAGCGACGAUCAGUAGCCGAGCUGAGAGGCAGAACGGAGACACUGGGAGUGAGACACGGCCCGGACUCCUACGGGAGGCAGCAGUGGGGGAUAUUGCACAAUGGCGGGAACCAUGAUGCAGCGAGGACGGGUGAGUGAAGAAGUAAUUCGGGAUGUAAAGCGCUAUCAGCAGGGAAGAUAAUGACAGUACCUGAAUAAGAAGCCCCGGCUAACUACGUG
rnacentral:rRNA from 1 species